GCAAGUCGAGCGGAAACGAAAAGGAGCUUGCUCCUUUGGCGUCGCGCGGCGGACGGGUGAGUAAUGCAUAGGAAUUUGCCCAGUUGAGGGGGAUAACCAUUGGAAACGAUAGCUAAUACCGGAUACGCCCUACGGGGGAAAGAAGGGGAGCGUCGGGCCUUUCGCGGUUGGAUAAGCCUAAGUGAGAUUAGCUAGUUGGUGAGGUAAUGGCUCACCAAGGCGACGAUCUCUAGCUGGUCUGAGAGGAUGAUC
rnacentral:rRNA from 1 species